AGAAGACAAGAUGGCGCUGGUUACCUCGUGUUAUAUCAAAGGGCAUUUUUGUUUACAAAUACCCGCUUAUUUUACGUUUUAGCGACUCUUUAGUCUUGAAAAUUAUAACUCAAUGGACAGGGAAAACGAUUCUGUAUUAAAGAGAAAAAGAUGUGCAGUUAUUGUGAUGUUAUUUGUUGUGAAAGACGGCCCGAAAUUUCGCUACUUCGCUGUACUGGUUUAUAAAACAUUUACAAGCAACAGCAAUUGAACUAUAUCACAAAGAAACCAAUGUGUACAAGCCAAUCAAGUUCUUCAGUUUAAAG
rnacentral:lncRNA from 1 species